rnacentral:rRNA from 1 species
UACGAAGGGGGCUAGCGUUGUUCGGAUUUACUGGGCGUAAAGCGCACGUAGGCGGCUUGUUAAGUCGGGGGUGAAAUCCUGGAGCUCAACUCCAGAACUGCCUUCGAUACUGGCAAUCUUGAGUCCGGAAGAGGUGAGUGGAACUCCUAGUGUAGAGGUGGAAUUCGUAGAUAUUAGGAAGAACACCAGUGGCGAAGGCGGCUCACUGGUCCGGUACUGACGCUGAGGUGCGAAAGCGUGGGGAGCAAACAGG